AGAACGUGUUUGUGGCCUGGAUAUACCACUUCCACUAACAACCCCUGUCCAGUACUCAGCAUCACUACUCUUGUCUCCUGAAGGAGGAAGUGGUUUCCUGCACACCUGACGGAUCUUUCCCCAAGAUGGUUGCUGAACAGUAAGAGGAUUUUUCUCUCCUGCUAAUAAUCUGCUGAUUUCCUGCCAAAGCUGAUUCUUUGUCAGGGUUGUUCCCUGGAUUUCAAUGGAAGCACUUAGGAAUGACCCAAGAUGACUUUUGGACGACCAUGGAUCCACCUGGGAAGAGGAAUCUUGAUGAUUACAGUUCCCAAUAGGAGAGGCCGGAAAAUCAGGUUUGACAAAAUAAUAAUGGCUACAAAGAAUGCCCAGAUACAAGUAACUGCAAUUAAACUAGAUUUACAAAAGGAACUUGGUUUGAAAUUGGCAAAUUCGGUGGAGAAGGCUGAAAGAAAUAUGGAUUUUACAAACUUAGAACUGACGGAAUGGUUAAGUGAUAAACUGAUCUCCCUUAAGAAGACUGAGGGAGAUUGGGGAAUGGAUUUAUUAUAUUCAAAUGGAAAACAAUUUCAUCUGGACUCUUUUGGAAGAUAGAUUGAUUUUGGAGAAUGGAUUUAUUACAUUUCAUCAACUGAUAAGAGAUGUUAUUAAGAAGUAAACAAGGAUAUUUGAUUCAGGACAAAUCAGAGUUAAUUGCUGGGAUGCUUUGGGAUAGAUAGGUUGAAUACAAAAAUAUUGUUAACAGAGGUUUUUAUAUUUUAAUCUUGUCUUCUUUUUUGUUAUUCUACCUGUUAAUUAUUUUGUUAUUAAUAUAAUAGGUAGAUGACAGGUUAAUAAUUUUCAAAUAGACUUAGAAGUUUAAAAAUUUUGGGCCUGUUUGGCAGGGGGUAGAAAACUAAUAUUAUUAAAAUAUAAUUAUUAGUAUUCAACUAGGGAACAAUAAUAUAUGUAUACGUGUUUGUGUCCUUUUUUUAAAGCACUUUUUAAUGUCUUGUUUGGUUUCUUUCUUUGGUUCAUUUCUGUAAAAAAACCUUUUGAGAGGAAUUUUGUUUUUGUUUUCAAUAAAAAUUCAAUAUAAAAAAGAUUUUCCUUUAUAAAUGGACUAAGGUUUUAUUUAUGUAUCAAUUGAGGUUAAUUCUUGAGGGCUCAGUGCAAAGGUUAUAGCUACUUUAACCUCUGAGGACAUAAACUACAUAAAGUUUCUGCAUUAUGUACAGGACUAGGAACCCUGGUGGCACAGUGGUUAAAGCCCAGUAUUACAGGCAAACACUGUCCAUAGUCUGGAGCUUAAUCCUGAUGGGGCUCAGGGUUGACUCAGCCUUCCUUACUUCCAAGGUCAGUAAAAUGAGAACCCAGACUGUUGGAGGCAAUAUGCAAAUAAUGCUUACAUAGUAAACUGCCCAGAAAGUACUAUAAAGUGCUAUGGGGUGGUGUAUAAGCUUAAAUGCUAUUGCUUUUGCUGUUAUACAUAUUACUUGUAUGCAUGUAAUAUAUCCAGGCACUAUCAUAACCAUUUUAAAUGGCUAUGCUUUCUGCAUCUAUUAUUACAGCUUGGAUUCUAAGCUACUCGUUUUGUUUUUUACAUUUAGGACACUCAUUACUCAGCUAACAUUUGCAUGAUUUGGAAUUGAAUUUCUAUC